rnacentral:misc_RNA from 1 species
GAAAUGCGAUAAGUAGUGUGAAUUGCGGAAUUCAGUGAAUCAUCGAAUCUUUGAACGCACAUUGCGCCCCUUGGUAUUCCAUGGGGCAUGCCUGUUCGAGCGUCAUUUGUACCCUCAAGCUCUGCUUGGUGUUGGGUGUUUGUCUCGCAUGACUGCGUAGACUCGCCUUAAAGCAAUUGGCAGCCGGCAUAUUGGCCUUGGAGCGCAGCACAUUUUGCGUUUCUUGCCAUGAAUGUUGGCGUCCAUCAAGCGUAUUUUUUGCUCUUGACCUCGGAUCAGGUAGGGAUACCCGCUGAACUUAAGC